UUUAAUUAAAUAAUAAUAAAUGAAGUGACCUUAAAUGCUACUUGUAACCCCCACAUAAAUUGCAUGAGAUACGGUCGGGACCCACAUUUGUGGACCUCGAGGGAUGCUUAACACCUUCCCCUUGAGGUAAUUUGAACCCUUACCCGAUCUCUGGUUCGUUGACCUUAGUUAGAUUUAGCUAGGUUAGAUAGGUGCCUUAACGCGCCUUAACUCGUUAGGUGGCGACUCUUCAAUCCAACCGAAAAGCCCAAAAGAGUUGUUAGGUCGCACAAAAACCCGUUUUGAGAAAAAUGGGGCGCGACAGAAUGGCGACUCUGCUGGCCCAUCUGGUUAGUAAUUUGUUUAAAUGAAUUAGAUAUCAUGCUUAUAGAUUUGAUUUUCAGCGUAUUGGCACUUAGAAAUCACGCCUAUAAGACAUAAUUAAGUUGAGAUGUCAGUCAACAUAUUAAUAAAUAAAAAGAGUAAAAUUAUGUUUUAAAAUUAUAAUAUGCUUCCUAGAUUGAAUCUGGCUCAAAUCAAUUAAGUUCUGCUCUGUUUUGCUACUGAAAAACACUAAUAAGUCAUUCUAAUAUAUAUAUAUAUAUAUAUUUCUUGUAUUUUGUGAUCUAUUUGCUAAUCACCUAAAAUUAACUAAUAAUUAUAUUCUGCGUGUCUUUAAAAUCUGCUACUAAACUUGCUGGACUAAUUAAAUGAUGCCCGAAAUUAAUUAUUUUCUGCAUUUUAACUGCCACUUAAAUUAAAUUCUGCACUAAUAAAUACCUUUUGCUACUGUUCUAAAAAAAUAAUUUUCUGCAUCUGCUACUUGCUGCCCCGAUUAAAUCCUGUUCGAAUUAAUUUCUGCACUGUUUUUCCACUUGAAAUAAGCUAAAGCAGUUUAUGCAUAUUAAUUAAAGCCAUUCUGCCACUGGUUCAUCUCUAGAUUUAAAUUUGCUCUAUUUUUGAGAUUGUUAGUUGAAUUAAUUAGCCAUUGUUUUCCUCAUAAUAUCUAGGCUCGAUUGAAAUUAACUGUUAAUACUUGUUCAUUGAUUAUAUGCCCACACAUCUACGCAUGAGACCUUUUUCACGUUACUUGUGUUUGCCAGCAUGCUUAAAUAAAAAAAAACUAGAGGCCAAUUUGAGACUUAUGUGCUAAAUGUUAGACAAAUUGUUUGACUUAGUGUGUAGGUGGGCCUAUUAGAAUUUUAUUUUAGUCUAAAUCCACCAUAAUAGUAGUCCAAUGCUUCUUGGAUCUAAAGCGGGGACGAUAGGCACCUUGUAGAGACGAAAAGCAUGCGGUGGUGGGGUAGGGGUAGUUUAGGCCCUACGGAGAUGAUGACAUUGACUCAGUCUUAAUGACAAACCUUGAUUUUGUCUGUCCCUACGAGAAGCCGAUUGAAAUAAAGAAAGUCGAGUGCUGAUCCGUAAAGUCCUUCAGAGUCUCCCUUUCAUUUUGUCCCUUUAUUUGUUUAUAAUUAUAUUUACUUGGGGUAGUUUAAUAAAAUAAAAAAUGAUAUUUGCUUAUAUACUUGUCUACUUUCUAUCUUCUCGCUAUCUCUUUUAAAUUUUAUUUGGGUUAAUCAUUUAGUAUUAUUAUAUCACCUAGUCUUGCAUGCUUAAUCAAUAAAAUAAAUACUUGAAGUAUCGUUAAUUGUUCAAUGUUAGUUAUCACCUAGCAAGCAUGUUUAAUAAAUAAUCAAUAAAUGAAGUGACCUUAAAUGCUACUUGUAACCCCCACAUAAAUUGCAUGAGAUACGGUCGGGACCCACAUUUGUGGACCUCGAGGGAUGCCUAACACCUUCCCCUCGAUGUAAUUUGAACCCUUACCCGAUCUUUGGUUCGUUGACCUUUCGUUAAAAUUAGUUAGGUUAGAUAGGUGCCCUAACGCGCCUUAAUUCGUUAGGUGGCGACUCUUCA
rnacentral:lncRNA from 1 species